GGCCAACUUUGAACAUGUUCAAAACAAUCGUGGUGCGGUCGUGGCGAAAUCAGGUCGUAAUAGAAGCGUAGUGAGAGCGCACUAAGAUCGUAGUAAGAUCGCGAAGGUCGCUGUACCAUCGUAGCGAGAGCGUAGCGACAGCGUGAUUCUAUUCGGAAAAACUGCGCUACGAUCUCACAGCGACGUUAUUACGACCUCACUACGACCAUCACGUUCUCACCGCGACCCAACUACGCUCCCACUACGACUAUACCACGCUGUUCGCGCCCAUAGUACGAUUCUAGCACGCCCUUGCCGUCCUCAUCACGC
rnacentral:lncRNA from 1 species